rnacentral:rRNA from 14 species
AGGGGCGUCGUUGCGGUGGAAAAGUGGUCGGAUCCCAUCAGAACUCCAAAGUUAAGCGUGCUUGGGCGAGAGUAGUACUAGGAUGGGUGACCUCCUGGGAAGUCCUCGUGUUGCAUUCC